UUAUUAUGACAGCGAGUAUCGCUCACUCAAAGCAAUGGCGGAAAAGCGCUAGUUUUGUACAAGUGUCUCGCUGUGUGAGGCAUGAAUCGUGUUGUUGUGGAGACAAUAGCACAAGAUUGUUACGCGGUGUGUUCAUGUGCGUCAUUAGAGAAACCACAUCUACACCUGCCUAUGAUCUGGCUAAGCUCUCAAAUAUAGCCAGGCACUCAUGCAUCUCCAUUCACAUGCCAUGCAACCAAGCUCAUAAAUACAGCUCUGGCCUAUCUCUCUUAAAGGAGCAUACCCUCAUCCUGUGCAGAGCUUAAUUAAAGGACUACUACCGAUAUUCAUCAUUACCUUCAUCAACGACUGCUCUGCUAUCCAAGUUGUGCCUCUCAUUCAGAGUUCUGUGCGGUGUGUGUGCUACCUCAUAAAAACUGAAUGCUGGCUCUCUCCUAUCUGAUGUAUGUUCUCUUGUGUGCCUAAUAAACAGCUCAAGUUGGUUCAACGCUCUCUAUUGUGUUCUGACAGACACCCUGGAGUGGGGGUGCAUUCAGCUGAUGUAGAUGUUUGCCUAAAAGGGAUAUGACAGACGCUACAUAUCAUUUCAUGUGAUUUUUAUAUGUUUUACGACUUGCAUCUUUACUUGACCAGGUGUUACAGAUGAUCAACAAAAUGCCCUCUGGAAGGUCCUGAGCGGGGAAUUCUCUGAAGUAAAGGAUGCAUUUGUGUUCAUAUUUCAAGUUCAAGAGGAUAUUGAAUUUUUUUUGUCAUACUGUGUUAAUGAACAAGGCCUGAAGGUCAAUGCCAUGUUUCUCAAUCAGCAAUUGCAGUAGACAGGAGUGAAUGAAUGAAAUGUGUAAUGAACUCAUUUAUUUAUGAAUCAAUAAUUUGAAGGAAUAAAUAAAUAAGCUAAUCCUUUGUGUAAGCUUAGAUGCAGACAUUUGUUAGAGUGUGCUGAAAUAAGUAGUACAGAUUUAUAUAGAACACAAUAUCUUAUCUUAAGUAAAUUAAAUAUUAAAUGUAAACAAACACACACACACAUCUGUAAUUUCUAAAUGGGGUGUACAUUUAAUUUUAAGUUAAGCCAAGCCAGAUUUAUUUAUAUAGUGUUUUUUUUACAAAGUUGCAUUGCUUCAAAAACCAGGGAAAUUACUAAAUUAAUAGUAAAUAUAAUGGGUUAUAUAGUAUUAUUCCAAACUAUAGAUUAUAAUCUAAUAAAACAGUAUUUUGUUCUUCAACUAUUGAUAAUUUAGUCAAAUAAUAUAAAUAAUCAGGAACAGACCAAACUAUACAAGCCUUUCCAAUUUCCACCUCACAUUAAAAUGGAACCUUAAAAGGAUUAAAAUUACCUGAGAACAGGAGUUUGAUAUUACAUAAGGGAUUAGCAAAAUUGAAACCAAGACGUCUUUAAGAUUGUAGCCGAAUUAUUUCAAGAAAGGCUAUAUGCUAUAUUAACAGAAUUUACAAAAUGCUAAACUUAGUUACUAUCAGCCAGGAAACAAACCAACACGGCAACAGAAGGAACCAAAAUGCCACGUGUGAAGUAAACUACUGCUAAAAACCGGUUUUAAUCAAUUUAAUUUGACAAAUAUUAACCUUGACAUACCUUACCACAAAGUGUAUUAAGAGAAUCCCUAGUAAAGAAUUAUUGACAACUGUCAACAGUGCCCGUUCCUCAAUCGGAAGGCUGCAGCCUCCGGAGGUCGCAUAUGCAGGCUGCAUAAGUCAUCACGUCUGGUUAAUUUAAGUUAACUGAGCAUUACAUCCGCAAAUCAUAAGCAUUUUACAACAAUUAACGACUAACUAAGAAUAAUAGUCAACUUUAUAAUAGUUAAUUUUCUAAAAUGAUGAUGUAUGCAGCAUACAAAAGAUUGCCUGAUGAAAUUCAACUGUGUUCCCGACCUAACAGUAAAACAAAAUGUGAUUGGUUGGAGGGAAAUCUUGCCAGGAUUGGUCAGCACAGUGUGCUUGUUGUCUGAUUGGCUGUAGUAGACGGUGGGCGGAGUCCCCCUAUUUGUGGAUUCUUGUGCACGUCUUGACGUGAGAAAUGUUUCAAAUCCACAAAUGCACAGAACGCGAUC